UACGAAGGGGGCGAGCGUUGUUCGGAAUUACUGGGCGUAAAGCGCGCGCAGGCGGUCUUCCAAGUCAGUGGUGAAAGCCCGGAGCUCAACUCCGGAACUGCCAUUGAAACUGUUGGACUUGAGUACGAGAGAGGUGAGUGGAAUUCCCAGUGUAGAGGUGAAAUUCGUAGAUAUUGGGAAGAACACCGGUGGCGAAGGCGGCUCACUGGCUCGUAACUGACGCUCAGGCGCGACAGCGUGGGGAUCAAACAGG
rnacentral:rRNA from 1 species